AGAGUUGUAAAACUCCCAACCCAUGUGAACAUACCUUUGUUGCCUCGGUGGCCUACCCGGUAGCUACCCUGUAGUUCCUCAAAGUCAGCGGCGGAGCCGUGGUGCCCUCUGAGCUUAGUGAUUACAUCUAGCUUUCGAGUAGCCACGACGCCUGCCGUUAAACACCCCAAUUUUUGAAGUUGACCUCGGAUCAGGUAGGAAUACCCGCUGAACUUAAGCAUAUCAAUAAGCGGAGGAAAAGAAACCAACAGGGAUUGCCCUAGUAACGGCGAGUGAAGCGACAACAGCUCAAAUUUGAAAUCUGGCGCAAGCCCGAGUUGUAAUUUGUAGAGGAUGCUUUUGGUGCGGUGCCUUCCGAGUUCCCUGGAACGGGACGCCUUAGAGGGUGAGAGCCCCGUACGGUUGGACGCCUAGCCUCUGUAAAGCUCCUUCGACGAGUCGAGUAGUUUGGGAAUGCUGCUCAAAAUGGGAGGUAAAUUUCUUCUAAAGCUAAAUACCGGCCAGAGACCGAUAGCGCACAAGUAGAGUGAUCGAAAGAUGAAAAGCACUUUGAAAAGAGGGUUAAAUAGCACGUGAAAUUGUUGAAAGGGAAGCGCUUAUGACCAGACUUUUUCCUAGCGGAUCAUCCGGUGUUCUCACCGGUGCACUUCGCUAGGUUGAGGCCAGCAUCGGUUCCAGUAGAGGGAUAAAGANCGUUGGGAAUGUGGCUCCCCCGGGAGUGUUAUAGCCCAGCGUAUAAUACCUUUAUAGGGACCGAGGUACGCG
rnacentral:rRNA from 1 species